CCUACGGGAGGCAGCAGUGAGGAAUAUUGGACAAUGGGCGCAAGCCUGAUCCAGCCAUGCCGCGUGCAGGAAGACGCAUCUAUGGUGUGUAAACUGCUUUUGUACGGGAAGAAACACUCCCUCGUGAGGGAGCUUGACGGUACCGUAAGAAUAAGGAUCGGCUAACUCCGUGCCAGCAGCCGCGGUAAUACGGAGGAUCCAAGCGUUAUCCGGAAUCAUUGGGUUUAAAGGGUCCGUAGGCGGUUUAAUAAGUCAGUGGUGAAAGCCCAUCGCUCAACGAUGGAACGGCCAUUGAUACUGUUAGACUUGAAUUACUAGGAAGUAACUAGAAUAUGUAGUGUAGCGGUGAAAUGCUUAGAUAUUACAUGGAAUACCAAUUGCGAAGGCAGGUUACUACUAGUGGAUUGACGCUGAUGGACGAAAGCGUGGGGAGCGAACAGGAUUAGAUACCCCUGGUAGUCCACGCCGUAACGAUAGAUACUAGCUGUUGGGUCGGCGAGUUACGUAGUGGUCGUAGACGAAGUAGAGUAAGUA
rnacentral:rRNA from 1 species